AAAAAACACUGAAAAAACCUCUGUUUUGUUAUUGUUAAGCUGCAGGUGAUGAGUGAUGUGAGCCAAGGAGGAUGAGGAGCUGCCAAGCGUUACAGACCGUUAAGAGGCCAGUGUUGAUCAGUGGCUGUCCAGGCCUUUCACAGCCACUGACACGCCGGCAGCACAAUGAUGAUGUCACUGAUUCUACUGCUGGCCACCCUGGGGCUCCUUGUUCAGGAUUCAUCAGGAGAAAUCAUCCUGACUCAGUCUCCUGGAUCUCAGUCUGUUGCUCCAGGACAAACUGUCUCCAUCAGGUGUAAAACCAGUUCAAAUGUUUAUGGCAAUCUCCACUGGUACCUUCAGAAACCUGGAGAAGCUCCUAAACUCCUGAUUUAUUCAGCUACAACUCGUCAGUCUGGAGUUUCAGAUCGUUUUAGUGGGAGUGGAUCUGGGACUGACUUCACUCUGACCAUCAGAGGAGUUCAGGCUGAAGAUUCAGGAGUUUACUACUGUCAGCAGAGUUACAGCUACCCGUUCACACAGUGAUACAACGUCGUACAAAAACCUCCCUCAGCUGGAGAGGAACUGAUCUGACUCAACAGCUGCACUGAAACUAAAACAACACAAGUUUUACUCAGAACAAAAAAUGCAGUUAAGAAUAAUUCACUUAUAACAUUUAUUAUCUAAAUAUACUGUAAAUAAACACUAUGUAUAGUUUAGUUAUUCAGGCCUUUAACAUUCUGCUGCACAUCAAAGCUAAACUCUGUUGAAGAAUAAUUUCAUGAUUCAUAAUAGAAUAAUAAUAAUUUAAUUCAUAGAGUAUGAUAACACAUGAAUGUAUGAAUGUAAAUAUUAUAUAUUAAAAAUCUUACCAUUUUUCAUUGGA